AACCCAUCGUGAAGGCAUUGGUUAGCGUAGCUUCUGAACCUCUCCCAAGCUUCACCAAAAGUUUCAUUGUAAAGUUUUAGUCCUGGAGGUU
rnacentral:snoRNA from 1 species